rnacentral:misc_RNA from 1 species
AAAGUGCGAUAAACAAUGCGAAUUGCAGAAUUCCGCGAAUCAUCAGAUCCUUGAACGCAACUGGCGCUAGGAGGAUCUCCUCCUAGCAUGUCUGUUUCAGUGUCUGCAAACAUCAUACUAAUCAUAAUGUGGUUGACAAAAGGGAUAUUUCUACUAUGUCUCUUGAGUCUUCCAUUAAAGAUGUUGUGUGUGUGAGUCUUUAGGACUCCUCAUCGGACUUUUGGUCACUGAUCUCCAGUGAUUUCGAUUGAGAGAUCCUAAUUACUCGAUUAGAAGGAUAAAAACUUCAACACACAAGAACUUUCUGGUAUGUUAGCCUAACUAGUUAACAUUACCUAGUCUUCUAACUCUGCAUCUGAAAUCAGGCAAGAUCACCCGCUGAACUUAAGC